GGGCUAAGUCUGUUGGAAAACAGCAUCAUGGACGGUGACAAUCCGGUUCUUGCCUGGGGUCCCGCGGCGUACGAGCCGUUUCCGACGAGUCGUGUUGCUUGGGAUUGCAGCACUAAGUGGGUGGUAAAUUCCAUCUAAAGCUAAAUACGGGCAAGAGACCGAUAGCGAACAAGUACCGUGAGGGAAAGAUGAAAAGAACUUUGAAAAGAGAGUUAAAUAGUGCUUGAAAUUGCUGUAAGGGAAGGGGUUGGCACC
rnacentral:rRNA from 1 species